AUGCUACCAAUGUCUAUGGGU
rnacentral:siRNA from 1 species